rnacentral:sRNA from 1 species
CCGUCCCGCUCCUCGGAACGGCCGGAACAGUCGGGCGCCCGGCGGCUACCCUGGUCGGGUGCGCCGCCCCCACGGGUGGUGCAAAGCCGACAGCCGUCGCACCCCAGGGAGCAUUUCCAUG